rnacentral:rRNA from 1 species
AUUGAACGCUGGCGGCAGGCCUAACACAUGCAAGUCGAGCGCGCGGCGGACGGGUGAGUAAUGUAUGGGGCUCUGCCCGAUCGAUGGUGAUAUCUACUGGACACGGUUGCUAAUACCGCAUCCUCUCGGAUGCCCCCCUAUGGUAUUAUCUAGUAGGUGGGGUAAAGGCUCACCUAGUCGACGAUCUCUAGCUGGUCUGAGAGGAUGAUCAGCCACAAUGGGACUGAGACACGGCCCAGACUCCUACGGGAGGCAGCAGUGGGGAAGAUUGCACAAUGGGCGCAAGCCUGAUGCAGCCAUGCCGCGGGUAUGAAGAAGGCCUUAGGGUUGUAAAGUACUUUCAGCGGGGAGGCGUUACCCGCAGAAGAAGCACCGGCUAACUCCGUGCCAGCAGCCGCGGUAAUAC